rnacentral:lncRNA from 1 species
UUAAGUCAAGGGGUCAAUAAAACGUGUCAACACCAAUGAAGAAGGGUCCCAAAGGAACCAAUGGUGACAUAGAGUUUGAUACAAAUCUUAAAGGUAAAACUUUUGAGGGUCCCUUUCAGUAGAGAGGCUACUGAUGUUUGUCGUCCUCUUAUUGGUCCAUCUCACUCACAUAAACAUCAGCUUUUUGGGGAUACCAUCCUACAAUAAUGUUUUGACAUCAUUGCAUGCCUCACCCACAUGACUGCCAACACUCACAAUCCUGAACAAAUAUUCAAUUAUAGGAAGGGAAAAAAUGAUCUCUUUGAGCCACCAACCUUACACAGCUUAAAGAACAGAUAUAAAAUGUUGCAAAGAAAGCAAACUAAGUCUUUGAUGUGUCUAUAUUUUAUAUGAGAAGACAUGUGGAUUGCACAUGUGUACAUCUGGAUAGCGCCCAUAUUUAGAUAUGAUAAUAUUGAGUAGGGAAUAAAAUCUUGGAAGUGGCAUCUAACAAACCAGAGAUAUGAGAUAUGCCUGUUUCAAUUGAUAACUGAAGCAAAAAAUGGAAAAGAAUAUCAGAAACCAUGACCAUAUAGGGAAUAAUAAAGAAUAUUGCUAUCAGAGGCGGACCCAAGAUUUCAGAUAAGCGACCUCAAGGCUACCGUAAACACCUAAAUAUUCUUUAUGAUUUGUGUAGAAAACAUACUGUAUAUUCUUAAUAACUUGAAGGCAAGACUGUCAUUUUAGUUUCCACCUAAGCAAAUUCUUUUAGGCUCACACUAUAUGGGUCUGUCUUUUUGCUUUUGAUAAGCUAAAACAAAAACGACUGCUUUGACUCAACUCAAAUGAAAAAUUUCAAUUCCAAGUGAUGUCAUUUUUAUUAAUUAUUGUAUUAAUCUUCACAAACUUCUCAGAAAAAAUUUGUCUUAAUCUUCAGGAUAGAAGCUAGUCUCCCAAAACUUAUAUCUUGUUGCUAUUAACGAUUUAAACUUUGGCAAGACUUUACAAGAUUCUACUAAUUGAUAUUCUAAACACAUACACAAUUUAGCAAAUUGAACUAUUUAUAGACUUUAGGUUAAUGCAAAUGCAUACUUUCCGUUGAACUCCUAGACCUCGAUUUAAGUACCAAUCUGAGUCUCUAAAUUCCUAGAUGUCUAAAGUCCUUAAAGGUAAAGAUACAGGCAAAUAAAUCCCGACACUUAAAAAUUUCACCAUUCAUUUAUUCCUUUCACUAGAAGAAAUACAGCAGUAGGUAACAUCUCAAAACUCAAUAAUCAGAAACAGACACAAAAUCAAUCAACUUCUCCAAAAUCCCGUGUUAGAAUAUUUGAAUGAUAGCCUAUGAAACAGUUCCCAAAUCACUGGAUUCAACAAAAUCAUGAAGGCAUUCAAAAAUUGGCUAAAUAUACCAAAGAUAAUGACCUAAGGACUACUAAGCUUUACCUAUUCGAUACUUCAGAAAAACAAUGUCACUGCAUAGCCGAUGCUCGAAGCAGGGAGAUGCGGUAGCAGACUGUUGAACUAAACAUAACACAAAAUUUGGACAUCUGUGUUUUCUUUUCUUUCUUUUUCCUUUUUGAAAGUUUUAGAUGCCUUAGAGAGAAAAGGGCCGGGGCCAGGGGGAGUGGGAGGGAGAAAGGCGGCUGGGGACAUUAAAAUUGAAAAUGAAAAAACCAAAGGUUCCAAUGUAUUAGAAUGCACGAUAUAAGCCCAACGGCUGAACUCCUUUGCCAGCAUUUCGAAAUCCGCCUGUGUUCAGUGGACCUUGUACAGAGUAAAUUUUUUCCCAAAACGGAUUAGAUUAAACCUCCUUCGAUACAACGAGGGUCCGAUCUGAUAGCUAUACUAUAUGUUUUAAGCCAAACAUAUCAUCCCAGACAAGACAAUUGUUUUAGGUUUCAUUUUUUCAUCAGCAAACACAAGUUGUCGAUGCAGAAACAAAAGCAAAGACACUACAGUACCAGGGGAAUAUGUCCGAAUGAACAAUAUAGAACCUUACGAAGCCUAUUCAAUAAAACAUUCCACAUAUACUACUAAACCCCUAUGGAAAAUGGUCAUGAAAACAAGUUCCAGUAGCACAUAUAUAUCUAAACUACUUGUGAAGAAUAAGAAAAAGACGUGUAUUGAUGACAAGAAAUUUUGAUGAAUAAACCUACUUAUAGGUCUCAAACAAAAUACAAUAUAAUAUUCGUUCAAUAUAGGACGUUGCUAAAUUAGAACUUAACACUUUGAACAUUUUCAACAUGCCUCCAACAAAACCAAAGCCAAGCUUCAGGUGCUGAGGCAACCGACAGAGCAGAAUUGGCGCCUCACCAGACUUCAGUCGAGGUGCUGCAUAAAAGCGAUUAACAAGCGCACACCUGGGUUAAGGCACAAGGCCUUUAGCAUGUGCAUCUUUCAAGCCAAAAAAGGGGGGUUUGGGGGGGGAUUAGGAUCCAGGAAAGGAAAAGGAAAUCUUCUGCAGGAGCAAAAGAGACAAACUCAUGAGACUUGAGAAGACAAUAGAGAACAAACAACUUGAGAAGAUCAUCAACGAUCUCAAACGGAAGAAGUGCAGGAAAGAGAGAUCUUCACAGAAUUCUUCUUUCUUCUAAUUCCUUUCUUUAUUUUUUUCUUUUGGUAAACAUUAGACUGCCUGCAUCUUUUUUUUCCUCUAUUUCUUUUCUUUUCUCUAUUGGGGAAAAUAGAGAAUCAAGUUCUGCUGCUAAGCCUCCAUUUCUUGUUUUCUUCUUCUCCUAGUGCGCUUCUUCUUUCUAUGGCCUGUGGAAGCCUCUGUCAUUUUUUUUUUCUUUUCGGGAAAGAGAUAACUAUUUAUAGUUAAGAGACAUAAAGUGAUUUGUCUUUUGAUGAUAAUCAGAAAACUCAAAAAACUUAAUUAAUAUACACCAAGAUGGUGUUAGGUUUAUUAUAAAAACAUUAAAUAGAAGGAUGCAUAAGCUCCCCAAGAACCAAGCUAAUCGUCUAUACAGUAAGGAACUUCCUGUUUAGACCAAAAGAGCACUAGGAAAAACAGAGGAUUAUAAUUUAACAAUGAAUGUCCAGUUCCCUCAAACGUUAUCAUACUCCUCUCUCUCUGCAUUUCUAGAAAUUUAUUGCACGGAGCGGUUCUCCAUAACUUUCUCCUAUCACAUUUAGCUUAUCCAAUCUCCAACUCACCAGUACUCUUUUCUCGAGAAAAAAACAAUGGAUGUUGAAAAUGAAGAACAUCAUGGCUCAUAGUUUUGUUGCAGACUUACAAUAGGUGAUCCACGCGUUCAUCAUGAUUUUUACACGUGAACACCAAUUGACCACUAUGCAUCUCCUUCUUCUUGGGUUGUUAAAAUUGGCUUUGAACUCAAGUAAGGUCGUUGAGUUGUUAAAAUUGCUCUCGACAUUGCAUACCAUGUAAAAAGUACCUCUUAGGUACCUCCAUUUUCCAUGUUGUUGACCAAAUGGAUAUUGUACACCUUCAUCAAGUAAGAAGUUAUAGAUGUCGUCAUGUCGUUACUUAAAAACAUUUUCAUUAGGAGCUAAAUUUGGAUUAGUAUAUAAAAGAUUUGGACUAGAGCAAGAAACUAGGUUAAAAUAAGUAUUAGGUUAGAGUGGAAUGAGAAUUUGAGAGUGAGCAGAGAAGUAGGAUUCCAAUCCUAAACCUAAACCUAAUAUAGGAGCAAGUGAAGAAUUAGGAUCCCAAUUUAACCCAAACCAUAGACGUAGUCCUUAUUCUAAUCUAAGUCCUAAUCCAAGUCCUUGUAGUAACACAGGUCUAAAUCCUAAACCUAAUAUUUGUUCCUAAUUCUAGCACCCAGUUCUACUUCUAAUUCUGAUCCUACUACUAUCAUGGGAAACUUACUCUAUUCAUCAGCUUCAGCUUUAGAAAAGCAGCUAUUUGGUCUGAAUGGAGCUCCAAACAAACUUGGUUCCAAAAGACAGCAUGACCCACAAAUAAUUACAGGACCAAAGCCGAUAAAAUCAGCACAUGUGAUACUAUGUGUGACUAAAGAUAAAAAAGUCAAAUUUUCUGAAGAUGGAAUUUCUCUCAUUCAUAAUGUUGUAACAUAGCCAUAGUUUCAUUUGGAGGCAGAAGCCAAUAUGGUAACCAACUACCCAUAUGGCAUUGUUUCAUGGAAUGUGAUUCACUCAAGAAUGAAUAUUAAUCUUCAAAAAAUGGAGUUUAGGCCUAUCUUAACUCCAAAAGCUAGCUAUGAGAAUUGCCCAAGCCCAUAAAAGGAGACAACAGUCCUUUCUCUCAACCAAUAUGGAAAAUUCUGACACUGCACCCUCCACCUAUGCCCCAGACCUGAACAUUGUGGAUAACAUAACAUGGGGGCCCAACAUUGAGAAACACAACAAUAAAGAUGAGUUUGGCUCUAAUACCAUGUAAAGAAAAUGGACCUUGGGCCUAAUUCAAUCUCAAAAGCUAGCUCAUGAGAUGAGAAUUGUCCCAAACCAAACAAGGAGAGAACAAUGUACUCCUUCAACGAAUAUCUAACAGAAACAAGAAAAGCACAUCUAUUUAAUGGCUUGUUAAUAUGAAUCCUAAUAGCAAUUACAACGAAAGUGUGAUGCGCCUCAUGUAUUAACAAAUAUUGACUAGAGCCAUUUCAAACCUUAAUUUCAUAUCAUGUAUAUGAAAGGAGAAAGAAAAAUAUAUAUCUUUGUUUCUUUAGGAACAAGCUCUGAGUGAGGUGACAUAACAAAUGUUAAGAUAUUUGAAAGAAAAAAAUUUAGUUGGGUGUUUGAUAUAUAAUCAAGUUAUAGUAUAUCAAAUAUACUCAAAGGGAAAGAGUAGCAUAUUCUCUUUAAAAGAUAUUUGAAAGAGAAGGAAGACCAAAGAACAUGAGGACCCAUACCUCAUGCAUGCUAAAAAGGUCUAAGAACGUAUAUUAAUAAUAUAGAUAAAUGAGAAAGUGAGGAUGAAGAAGCAAAAGUCUAUUUCUAUCCUAUGAGGCGGGGACAAGGGCACAAUUGUUUAAGGAACAAAAUAAAGCUGUAACAGAUAUAGGAAUGUCAUAAUUAUGAGACUGAGGUGGGAUAGUCAUUGUGAAGCGGUGUGCAUGAUUUAAAAAAUGAUGCAAAACAAAAGUAAAAUGCACCCUUGCCUGACACCAAAAGAUUUUUUAGCAUCAAGAGGGGGAUUUUUUCAUUAACUUAUUCUCCACCCCACCACUCCAAUCUUCCAUUAGUGAAAUGCGGUAAUUCAAACCACCCGACCUUUCCAAUCUUCUAUCCUGUGAACCAUCACGUGGAAUGGUACUAUUACCUCAAUCCUUGAAGGUCCAGAUGCAGCAGCUCCUAACUCCCAUCAGGGCUAACCACCUCCUAAUAACACAGAAAUUGUUAGCACUGUCACACCUACUCUGCAACUUCAUAAUACCAUGGUAAAGAAGUUUUCAGCUGUAAACCCCUAGAGACAAAAUUCUCAACCCCGUGGAUUUGGCAAUAAAAUACUUUGAGAUUCAUCAAGUACCUAAUACUAUGAAGAUAAGCUAUAUCCGGAUAGAUAUAAAAGGGGGGAUCCACCGAUAGUUUGACAGUUCUAUGAUAGAUUAUGGUGGGUAAUUUGUACGAAGACAUCAUUUGUGAUGUUUAUAGAAGGUCUGGAAACACUAGAUUUCUGGAUAGAGAUUGACAAAUUCAGUGAGCUCAGUAGGCCAAUGACGUGGAAGCUUAUCUAUAGAAGUUUGAAGAACUGAGGUCUUACAUGCUCAUUAAAAGACCCUUCAUUCAUGUGAAUCCAAUUCCUGUUUCAAUUAGAGACUAAUGCCUAGGAUAUUUAACCUAAUAGUACCUAUAAAAAAGAUAAGGAUAUCUAAUCCAACAAUUCUAACAGAUCGUAAGAAGGAGCAAAGUAGCACGAGGAAUCUAUCAAUGGGAUUAACAAACUUCUACUCCAUAGUCCAAUUACCCUCCAAUAACAAAUCUGAACACCAAGCACCUACACAACGGUUCCUCAGCCAUAUUUCCAUACUAUCGAGUCUUCCACUUACAAACCUUUUCAACUUUCUGUAACCUUACAUACAAUCGACCAAGAGAAUAGAAGUUAGAAGUACUUUAUCGAUGCAAGCAAAAACCCCUCAAUGCCAAUGAAGGAGGGGAUAGCAGAAAAUAUUGGGGAGGUUGAUGCAGAGGCAAUUCAAGAGAGCGUGACACUGAAUGGUGUCCACGGGUGUCAAAUUCCCCCAUGACCAUCCAAAUUGUUCGAACCACUAAGAGGUGGGCAUAAAAGCAGCUCAAAUUCAGGGUUAUUCUUGGCAAUAUGGCCAUGCAAGUUACUACGGGCAAUGAUCACAUUCACAGGACCUUAUGGUCAAAAAUUCAGUAAAUAUGUGUCAAUAAUAGCUUUCUAGAAAACAAUACGCACUUAUACAAGAAGCUGACCCACUUGAAAAUAAUGCAAACUAUACAUCAACUUGGGAGAAGACGUAAAACCUUAGAACGCACACAGCCCUAGAGCCAAACCUAAACAGGCAAUAGGCUGACACAUGACUUAUACCAUCAGCUACAAUCGAACUUGUUGAGAUAUGCAAGGUGAAUCUUUCAUUUUCAAUUUCAGAAUGCAUAAGGUUAACCUCAAGUUAGAAAUGGAUUGAUUGACCUCUAUUCCCCGAUUAUGUUAGACUUGUGACGUAACCAAGUGUCCUUCUGGUGAUGAUAAGGGAGAAUCAACGGGUACUAGGUGGGCUCACAGAAGGAAAUGGCUGCUUAAACUUUUUCAGCAAUGUGUUAUUCAAGUGUUCUCCAUUGCAACAGCCAACAAGUAUAUAAACUCUAUGAACUGACGGAGUAAAAAAGAUUUACACAAUGAAGUCACUUAAAAGGCAACAGCAGGUAGCUCUCUACACAAACAUAAAUUAGUAACCUUAAGAAAAUGGAAAGCAAUCUUCUAUAAGGUGAAAGUACACUGAUAAUGUAAAAUAUGUUUACACUGUAAGGGCAUAUAACUUAAACUCUUGCAACAAAGCUGAACAAAGAGAAUCCCCUAUAAUCUGUUUGAUUUCUAGUUUGUUAGAGUCAGUUAAAACUUAAAAAGAAUUUCUAGCUGGAGCAUGUCAGCUCUCGGCUCCAUAAAUUGAGGUUACAAUCACACGAACUUCCAUUUUAGCUUCUUAUAAUUGUUCCUUAUUUCUUUUACUCGCAAUCAGUAAUCACAAGUUCACAACAAUCACGUAUCCAUAUUGCUUCAUAAAUUCAUCCAUAAACAUUAAACUAAUGAGAUAAAAUAGAAUUUACCAUUUGUUGGUUCGGUUUCUGCUGAUUGAGGAAUUACAACUGAGGAACAACGACAUCAGUUAUCAACACUUUACCCCGUGUAAACACCUUAAAAUUGUAUCAUUUGCUUCUUAGAUUGCUCCAGUUUGGAGAGAGCGGCUGUUAUUGAACAACUUUUUUGGCUUUUUUUCUCGUUUUCUGAACUAAAAUGCGUUUUUCUUCGUUAAUGGCAUGAGGCCCAUUGCCCAAUUGUUGAGCGAUUGAUUCUGUUUUCAUUUUUCCUUCUUUCUUUUUUUUUUAGCCGCCAACCCCAUCGUUUGGUUUUAG